UAGAUUUGGGUAUGUCAUUUUAGGCAAAAAUUGAAAAGGGGGGGGGGCGGAUCCUUACGAGGUUAAUAGUCUGCCUUGACUGAGUCAUAAUAGAGUCUGCACUGAGUCAUACGUCAUUAUCCAAACAUAAAAUGAAAAAGUAGCACAGAGAAAAUGUAAUUUUACCAAGCCCAUUCCAAUGUCCUCAAGGAGCAGAGCCAGCAGCAGAACUCCAGUGUGGAGCUAGACCUGAGCUAUGAGGGCCAGCACCUGGGCGGCUUCUGCAGGAUCUUCCCCCGCCAGGGAGGGGAGGAGUACGACAAGUACCUCAAACACAGCAGCUCCCUCUUUCAGGAGACAGCUGCCACCAAGGCCAGAGAGAGGUGCACCAGAGAGCAGUUGCAGGAGCCCCAUGAGAAACAUAGCCAGAGCAGGUGUCAGAGACUGGGCCUGCUGGGGGAGUCAGCAGGAGACACGGGUAAAAUCCACAAAGCACCCCUCUGCCCCAUCCAUCCCAAUUCUCUGGCCUGCUCCGCUCACUUCCUCCCAGGGUGACCCAGGCGCUGAAGGAGGGGGAGGAGGGGGAGGAAGAGCAUCUCAGGGGGCUGCAGCUGAGGGCCAGCCUGCUCAGAGACCUGGCCAGGUGUUCGUCACAGUGCCACCUAUUGUCAAGACUGACUUACGGCAAUAGAUAAGCAACAUGGCAGCCUAGUCAGUACCUCGCUGGGUAACCACCACAACAACAGCAGCUCUAACGGGCCCUUUGCUGAAAUGCAAGUGUAAGGCCCUCCCCCUAUCACCCUGAGGCUGCCCCACCCAAGGCUGCCCCACCCUGAGUUAUGUGAAGGACCCAGCGAUUGUUUGUGGUAACAAAUGUCACCUCUCUUCAGGUUUUGGGCAAACUGGUAAUAUAAGGUGGGUGAAAUAAGAUUUUCUCACACCUGUUGGGGAAACCACAGCAGCUGUCUUAGUCUUCAGCCGUGACCUAAUGUGAACACAGCGCAAGGCUCUCACUCCAGCAGCCCACUUACGGCUGCGGCAGCUCUCCAGCGGUAGCUUUGUGUAAUCGUAGGGAGUGAUGAAGAUAUACCAGGCUACAAACCAGACCGUGGUCAACCGCUGUGAUUAGGCAGAACACCAGACCAGGAAGCACCUUGUCGACAACAAGGCCAUCGACCACGAUCACUCAAGGAACCUGCUCAAAGAAGAAGCUAUGGACUUAGAUAACGGCAAGGCUGCUAACCCUUCCAAGAACCAGCCAAACCAGCCAAUCUGACUUGUUGAGACUGUAUGUUGUACUGGUCAACAUAACUACAGGCAUGCUUGUGGAUUGCAUGCUGACACUUGUUUUUACUCUGCCAAAAUGAUUUUGUCCAGAUGAGAAUGUGGAUGGAACAUUGGUUCAUCUGUCAAGCCUCAUCAAGAGACAUUACUCCUCAAUAAUAAUAAUAAUACCUACAUGUUUCAAGCAGACCACCAUCGUCCUUGUGCCCAAGGAAGCGAAGGUAACCUGCCUAAAUGAUUACUGCCCCGUG